rnacentral:lncRNA from 1 species
CUUUCAUUCUGGACUUGCUGCAUGGGAGAAGGAAAUCCUUUACUACAAUGGCUUAAAUGAAAAAGCCUCCAGCCUCCUCCUGAUACCCAGGUUCCCCUUUGAUCAGAUAUGCCUGGAAGCCCAGGCCCAUUUGUCUUCUCUUGGAACAACCAGACAUGAGUCUCAUUUAUUCACUCACAAUCAGCUACCACUAUCGCCAGAGACACAUAGUGUAUGAAAUUGGACUCUGAAUGACUAAAUGAGGAAACGGACCCAACUUUAGACCUGAAGUUCUCAUUGAUCCCACAUACGUUCUACUAUGCAAAGCUGGGGUGUUAACACACAGUAAGAGUGUGAGAAAAUUAUUGAAAAGUACUGAGAAUGCUGUUUAGUCCCGGACCAACUAGGAAAGAUAUUGUUCUUGACAGUAGAAGGCAUGCUCAGGGCAGAUGAUGUGAAAUAGAACAACUUUUGAUUUUUAAUAAAAGAAAGUUUUUAAGAGGAAAAGACUGGGGAAUACUUUUAUUAUACUGUUGUGGGAC